AUGGUACUUCAAGGUUUGGAAAGUGCUUUACAAAUAUUAACUUAUUUGAUCCUCAUAAAAAUCCUGGGAGGUACAUGCUCUUAUUCUUUUCAUUUUACAGAUGAAGAAACUGAGGCAAACAGAGGUCAAGUGUCUUGCUCUGAGCCACAUAGGUGUGGAAGGUGGCCUGCACUGUCUGGAGCACGAGAGAAGUCUCCAUUGUCAGAUUCCUUCAGCGCAGGAUGCCGACACAAGGGAUUUAACGGUGCGGCUGAGGCCAAUCUUCCUGCGCCUAGAGCAGAGAUGUUAUGGGGCACUGGAGGACCGGGAUGUUACUUUGUGACUGUGCCAAAGCGGAUAAAGCGUAUAGAUACAAUCUUAUUAAAAGUCUCUCUCUGUUUCCAUUUCCACAUGUCUGUUUAAAACAUAAACAUUGUGUGGGAGUAUAUUAAAUGCAUGAAUACUAACUAACUGGUGACCGAUACACUGGAAUGGGGUGGGGG
rnacentral:lncRNA from 1 species